GAUAACUACUGGAAACGGUAGCUAAUACCGCAUAACGUCGCAAGACCAAAGAGGGGGACCUUCGGGCCUCUUGCCAUCGGAUGUGCCCAGAUGGGAUUAGCUAGUAGGUGGGGUAACGGCUCACCUAGGCGACGAUCCCUAGCUGGUCUGAGAGGAUGACCAGCCACACUGGAACUGAGACACGGUCCAGACUCCUACGGGAGGCAGCAGUGGGGAAUAUUGCACAAUGGGCGCAAGCCUGAUGCAGCCAUGCCGCGUGUAUGAAGAAGGCCUUCGGGUUGUAAAGUACUUUCAGCGGGGAGGAAGGCGAUAAGGUUAAUAACCUUGUCGAUUGACGUUACCCGCAGAAGAAGCACCGGCUAACUCCGUGCCAGCAGCCGCGGUAAUACGGAGGGUGCAAGCGUUAAUCGGAAUUACUGGGCGUAAAGCGCACGCAGGCGGUCUGUCAAGUCUGAUGUGAAAUCCCCGGGCUCAACCUGGGAACUGCAUUCUAAACUGGCAGGCUAGAGUCUUGU
rnacentral:rRNA from 1 species